rnacentral:pre_miRNA from 1 species
GACGUACUCCCUCCGUUCGGAAUUACUUGUCACAAAAAUGGAUGUAUCUACAACUAAAAUACAUCUAGAUACAUUCAUUUCUUGGACGAGUAAUUCCGAACGGAGGAAGUAGGAU